rnacentral:rRNA from 1 species
UACAGAGGGUGCAAGCGUUGUUCGGAAUCAUUGGGCGUAAAGGGCGUGUAGGCGGUUUGUUAAGUCAUGUGUGAAAUCCCUCGGCUCAACCGGGGAACGACGCAUGAAACUGGCAAGCUAGAGUACCAAAGAGGGUGGUGGAAUUCCCGGUGUAGCGGUGAGAUGCGUAGAUAUCGGGAGGAACACCUGUGGCGAAGGCGGCCACCUGGUUGGAUACUGACGCUGAGACGCGAAAGCGUGGGGAGCAAACAGG